rnacentral:rRNA from 1 species
CCUACGGGAGGCUGCAGUGAGGAAUAUUGGUCAAUGGUCGGGAGACUGAACCAGCCAAGCCGCGUGAGGGAUGAAGGUACAGCGUAUCGUAAACCUCUUUUGUCAGGGAACAAAGGCGGGGACGUGUCCCCGGAUGAGUGUACCUGAAGAACAAGCAUCGGCUAACUCCGUGCCAGCAGCCGCGGUAAUACGGAGGAUGCGAGCGUUAUCCGGAUUUAUUGGGUGUAAAGGGCGCGUAGACGGUUAGGUAAGUCUGUGGUGAAAGCCCGGGGCACAACCCCGGGACUGCUUUGGAAACUGGGGAACUGGAGUACAGGAGGGGCAGGCGGAAUUCCUGGUGUAGCGGUGAAAUGCGUAGAUAUCAGGAGGAACACCGGCUGCGAAGGCGGCCUGCUGGACUGAAACUGACGUUGAGGCUCGAAAGCGUGGGGAGCAAACAGGAUUAGAUACCCGAGUAGUC